rnacentral:misc_RNA from 1 species
UUCGAUUCGUGCUUGGUUAUUGAUAAAAGUAAUUUUGUUUUAAAUGUGUUAUUCCCAAGUGUAAAACGCGAUCAAAUUACGUGCUGUACCUUUUACUGAUAGUGAUAACACUAGAUGGGAGGCAUCGUUCAUCAAUUGUCCAAUAUUACGGAAAUAUACUCGUAGGCAGUUAGAAAACGUUAAAAUUUGUGAAAACCACUUUCUACCCAGAAAAAAGACCUACUUAUUGGUAAUCAACGUGCACAGUGGUCCAUCAUUGAGGAGCUCUAUGCUACAGAUGGUGAAGCCGGACGUGCAAGAACCACAACCCUGACGGAUAAACACAUUAGACCAACUUCUUAUGACAAGAUGAAG